UAAGUAGUAGUGCCGCAGGUAAUAUUUUCAUACUUACUUGCACACGACUGCUUAAUA
rnacentral:pre_miRNA from 1 species